GACGUCGGGCGCGAGCGUUGUCCGGAUUUAUUGGGCGUAAAGAGCUCGUAGGCGGCUCGUUGCGUCGGCUGUGAAAACCCGCAGCUCAACUGUGGGCUUGCAGCUGAUACGGGCGGGCUGGAGUUCGGUAGGGGAGACUGGAAUUCCUGGUGUAGCGGUGAAAUGCGCAGAUAUCAGGAGGAACACCGGUGGCGAAGGCGGGUCUCUGGGCAUCUCCUGACGCUGAGGCGCGAAAGCGUGGGGAGCAAACGGG
rnacentral:rRNA from 1 species